rnacentral:rRNA from 1 species
AUUGAACGCUGGCGGCAGGCCUAACACAUGCAAGUCGAGCGGAUGAAGGGAGCUUGCUCCUGGAUUCAGCGGCGGACGGGUGAGUAAUGCCUAGGAAUCUGCCUGGUAGUGGGGGAUAACGUCCGGAAACGGGCGCUAAUACCGCAUACGUCCUGAGGGAGAAAGUGGGGGAUCUUCGGACCUCACGCUAUCAGAUGAGCCUAGGUCGGAUUAGCUAGUUGGUGGGGUAAAGGCCUACCAAGGCGACGAUCCGUAACUGGUCUGAGAGGAUGAUCAGUCACACUAGAGCUGAGACACGGUCCAGGCUACUACGGGAGGGAGCAGUGGGGAAUAUUGGACAGUGGGCGAAAGCCUGAUCCAGCCAUGCCGCGUGUGUGAAGAAGGUCUUCGGAUUGUAAAGCACUUUAAGUUGGGAGGAAGGGCAGUAAGUUAAUACCUUGCUGUAUUGACGUUACCAACAGAAUAAGCACCGGCUAACUUCGUG